GAUGAACGCUGGCGGCGUGCCUAAUACAUGCAAGUCGAGCGAACGGACGAGAAGCUUGCUUCUCUGAUGUUAGCGGCGGACGGGUGAGUAACACGUGGAUAACCUACCUAUAAGACUGGGAUAACUUCGGGAAACCGGAGCUAAUACCGGAUGAUAUUUUGAACCGCAUGGUUCAAAAGUGAAAGACGGUCUUGCUGUCACUUAUAGAUGGAUCCGCGCUGCAUUAGCUAGUUGGUAAGGUAACGGCUUACCAAGGCAACGAUGCAUGGCCGACCUGAGAGGGUGAUCGGCCACACUGGAACUGAGACACGGUCCAGACUCCUACGGGAGGCAGCAGUAGGGAAUCUUCCGCAAUGGGCGAAAGCCUGACGGAGCAACGCCGCGUGAGUGAUGAAGGUCUUCGGAUCGUAAAACUCUGUUAUUAGGGAAGAACAUAUGUGUAAGUAACUGUGCACAUCUUGACGGUACCUAAGCAGAAAGCCACGGCUAACUACGU
rnacentral:rRNA from 1 species